GGUAACGGCUCACCAAGGCGACGAUCGGUAGCUGGUCUGAGAGGAUGAUCAGCCACACUGGGACUGAGACACGGCCCAGACUCCUACGGGAGGCAGCAGUGGGGAAUAUUGGACAAUGGGCGCAAGCCUGAUCCAGCCAUGCCGCGUGAGUGAUGACGGCCUUAGGGUUGUAAAGCUCUUUCGCCAGGGACGAUAAUGACGGUACCUGGAUAAGAAGCCCCGGCUAACUUCGUGCCAGCAGCCGCGGUAAUACGAAGGGGGCUAGCGUUGUUCGGAAUCACUGGGCGUAAAGCGCACGUAGGCGGAUCUUUAAGUCAGGGGUGAAAUCCCGAGGCUCAACCUCGGAACUGCCUUUGAUACUGGGGAUCUCGAGUUCGGGAGAGGUGAGUGGAACUGCGAGUGUAGAGGUGAAUUCGUAGAUAUUCGCAAGACACCAGUGGCGAAGGCGGCUCACUGGCCCGAUACUGACGCUGAGGUG
rnacentral:rRNA from 1 species